rnacentral:rRNA from 1 species
UUAAGCGACUAAGCGUACACGGUGGAUGCCCUGGCAGUCAGAGGCGAUGAAGGACGUGCUAAUCUGCGAAAAGCGUCGGUAAGGUGAUAUGAACCGUUAUAGCCGGCGAUGUCCGAAUGGGGAAACCCAGUGCAAUUCGUUGCACUAUCGUUAACUGAAUACAUAGGUUAACGAGGCGAACCGGGGGAACUGAAACAUCUAAGUACCCCGAGGAAAAGAAAUCAACCGAGAUUCCCCCAGUAGCGGCGAGCGAACGGGGAGCAGCCCAGAGUCUGAAUCAGCUUGUGUGUUAGUGGAACGGUCUGGAAAGUCCGACGGUACAGGGUGAUAGUCCCGUACACCAAAAUGCACAGGCUGUGAACUCGAAGAGUAGGGCGGGACACGUGGUAUCCUGUCUGAAUAUGGGGGGACCAUCCUCCAAGGCUAAAUACUCCUGACUGACCGAUAGUGAACCAGUACCGUGAGGGAAAGGCGAAAAGAACCCCGGCGAGGGGAGUGAAAAAGAACCUGAAACCGUGUACGUACAAGCAGUGGGAGCACCUUCGGGUGUGACUGCGUACCUUUUGUAUAAUGGGUCAGCGACUUAUAUUCUGUAGCAAGGUUAACCGUAUAGGGGAGCCGCAGGGAAACCGAGUCUUAACUGGGCGUUAAGUUGCAGGGUAUAGACCCGAAACCCGGUGAUCUAGCCAUGGGCAGGUUGAAGGUUGGGUAACACUAACUGGAGGACCGAACUGACUAAUGUUGAAAAAUUAGCGGAUGACUUGUGGCUGGGGGUGAAAGGCCAAUCAAACCGGGAGAUAGCUGGUUCUCCCCGAAAGCUAUUUAGGUAGCGCCUCGUGAACUCAUCUUCGGGGGUAGAGCACUGUUUCGGCUAGGGGGUCAUCCCGACUUACCAACCCGAUGCAAACUACGAAUACCGAAGAAUGUUAUCACGGGAGACACACGGCGGGUGCUAACGUCCGUCGUGAAGAGGGAAACAACCCAGACCGCCAGCUAAGGUCCCAAAGUCAUGGUUAAGUGGGAAACGAUGUGGGAAGGCACAGACAGCCAGGAUGUUGGCUUAGAAGCAGCCAUCAUUUAAAGAAAGCGUAAUAGCUCACUGGUCGAGUCGGCCUGCGCGGAAGAUGUAACGGGGCUAAACCAUGCACCGAAGCUGCGGCAGCGACACUAUGUGUUGUUGGGUAGGGGAGCGUUCUGUAAGCCUGCGAAGGUGACCUGUGAGGGUUGCUGGAGGUAUCAGAAGUGCGAAUGCUGACAUAAGUAACGAUAAAGCGGGUGAAAAGCCCGCUCGCCGGAAGACCAAGGGUUCCUGUCCAACGUUAAUCGGGGCAGGGUGAGUCGACCCCUAAGGCGAGGCCGAAAGGCGUAGUCGAUGGGAAACAGGUUAAUAUUCCUGUACUUGGUGUUACUGCGAAGGGGGGACGGAGAAGGCUAUGUUAGCCGGGCGACGGUUGUCCCGGUUUAAGCAUGUAGGCUGGUUGUCCAGGCAAAUCCGGAUAAUCAAGGCUGAGGUGUGAUGACGAGGCACUACGGUGCUGAAGUAACAAAUGCCCUGCUUCCAGGAAAAGCCUCUAAGCAUCAGGUAACAUUAAAUCGUACCCCAAACCGACACAGGUGGUCAGGUAGAGAAUACCAAGGCGCUUGAGAGAACUCGGGUGAAGGAACUAGGCAAAAUGGUGCCGUAACUUCGGGAGAAGGCACGCUGGUGUGUAGGUGAAGUCCCUGCGGAUGGAGCUGAGACCAGUCGAAGAUACCAGCUGGCUGCAACUGUUUAUUAAAAACACAGCACUGUGCAAACACGAAAGUGGACGUAUACGGUGUGACGCCUGCCCGGUGCCGGAAGGUUAAUUGAUGGGGUUAUCCGUAAGGAGAAGCUCUUGAUCGAAGCCCCGGUAAACGGCGGCCGUAACUAUAACGGUCCUAAGGUAGCGAAAUUCCUUGUCGGGUAAGUUCCGACCUGCACGAAUGGCGUAAUGAUGGCCAGGCUGUCUCCACCCGAGACUCAGUGAAAUUGAACUCGCUGUGAAGAUGCAGUGUACCCGCGGCAAGACGGAAAGACCCCGUGAACCUUUACUAUAGCUUGACACUGAACAUUGAGCCUUGAUGUGUAGGAUAGGUGGGAGGCUUUGAAGCGUGGACGCCAGUCUGCGUGGAGCCAACCUUGAAAUACCACCCUUUAAUGUUUGAUGUUCUAACGUUGGCCCCUUACCGGGGUUGCGGACAGUGUCUGGUGGGUAGUUUGACUGGGGCGGUCUCCUCCUAAAGCGUAACGGAGGAGCACGAAGGUUAGCUAAUCCUGGUCGGACAUCAGGAGGUUAGUGCAAUGGCAUAAGCUAGCUUGACUGCGAGCGUGACGGCGCGAGCAGGUGCGAAAGCAGGUCAUAGUGAUCCGGUGGUUCUGAAUGGAAGGGCCAUCGCUCAACGGAUAAAAGGUACUCCGGGGAUAACAGGCUGAUACCGCCCAAGAGUUCAUAUCGACGGCGGUGUUUGGCACCUCGAUGUCGGCUCAUCACAUCCUGGGGCUGAAGUAGGUCCCAAGGGUAUGGCUGUUCGCCAUUUAAAGUGGUACGCGAGCUGGGUUUAGAACGUCGUGAGACAGUUCGGUCCCUAUCUGCCGUGGGCGCUGGAGAAUUGAGGGGGGCUGCUCCUAGUACGAGAGGACCGGAGUGGACGCAUCACUGGUGUUCGGGUUGUCAUGCCAAUGGCACUGCCCGGUAGCUAAAUGCGGAAGAGAUAAGUGCUGAAAGCAUCUAAGCACGAAACUUGCCCCGAGAUGAGUUCUCCCUGAGACUUUAAGUCUCCUGAAGGAACGUUGAAGACGACGACGUUGAUAGGCCGGGUGUGUAAGCGCAGCGAUGCGUUGAGCUAACCGGUACUAAUGAACCGUGAGGCUUAACCUU